AUAGCAAAAUACCGUUUAUGUCAAGGUUUGGUCAUUUUCCAAGAGAAGAGCCAAUUUCCAUUAAACUCAAACUAAGCUUUAUCAAAUGUGUUUCAUUAUAAUGCUUUGAGUUUAUUAGAAACCAAUGCAACUCAUGAAAAUUGCCAAAUGCAAGAAGUCACACAACAAAGUAGCAAAACAAACAUUAUGUGCAAAAUGAGAAAAGUGUUAGUGUCUAGAGUAAAUGUUAACAUUCACAUGAAGAACUUGUUGAAAGAGAAGCAAACUUUUAUGUCAAAAUGGAUAUUCCAAACAGCUAUACCAUUCUCAUGUUAUCAAGCUCAAAGAGCGAUAAAAAUACGCAUAAACAAGUUACCGGUAUCAAGAACGGUAAAACUAUAA